rnacentral:rRNA from 1 species
UACGUAGGGGGCGAGCGUUGUCCGAAGUUACUGGGCGUAAAGCGCGCGUAGGCGGGCCGUUAAGUGGGAGGUGAAAGGCUGGGGCUCAACCCCAGCAGUGCCUCCCAUACUGGCGGUCUUUGAGGGCGGUAGGGAGAAGUGGAAUGGCUGGUGUAGCGGUGAAAUGCGUAGAUAUCAGUCGGAACACCGGUGGCGAAGGCGGCUUCUUGGGCCGGUUCCUGACGCUGAGGCGCGAAAGCUGGGGGGAGCGAACGGGG